rnacentral:lncRNA from 10 species
CUGCUGCCUUGCAGUUUGAUCUCAGACUGCUGUGCUAGCAGUCAGCGAGACUCCGUGGGCGUAGGACCCUCCGAGCCAGGUGCGGGAUAUAAUCUCGUGGUGCGCCGUUUUUUAAGCCCGUCGGAAAAGCGCAGUAUUCAGGUGAGAGUGACCCGAUUUUCCAGGUGCCGUCCGUCACCCCUUUCUUUGACUUGGAAAGGGAACUCCUUGACCCCUUGUGCUUCCCAAGCGAGGCAAUGCCUCGCCCUUCUUCGGCUCGCGCACGGUGCGCGCACCCACUGACCUGCGCCCACUGUCUGGCACUCCCUAGAGAAAUGAACCCGGUACCUCAGAUGGAAAUGCAGAAAUCACUGUCUUCUGCGUCGCUCACGCUGGGAGCUGUCGACCGGAGCUGUUCCUAUUCGGCCAUCCUGGCUCCCCAUCAGUGGUGUCUUUCAUUGGGACCUCUGAGGGUCUAUUUGAGGGCAUGAAUAUGGAAAAUUCAGCUCCAGCUCCUCCACCCCACUCCCUGAACAGCACUGCAGAACUGUGCUAAGCUCCUGUGGCUUGGAAAGAACAGAUGCAAGAGACAUAAUAAAUGCCUCCAAAUAACUUAGUCCUCAACCUGAAGCCAAAGUGAUUUCGGUGUACCAGGAUUGAAAUACUUCUGUAUUCACAACUGAAUGGAUAAACGGGCACUCCUUGUGGCUCCUCAUUGUAUGUCCCCUAGAGGGUCAGCAAGGCCAAGAAUUGGUUUGUGGAACAAAUAUCCAUUACUCCAAUCGGGGAUGAAAAAGAGUACACGCCAUGGAUUUUGCUCUCGGGAGUGAUUGAUUCAGCGAGUGAAAUAAGACCAACAUGCAUGGAAGGGUUGAUGAUGCUAGAAUCUCCCACACUUUGCCAGCCACAGGGAAGUCAAAUCAGUAUUGACUUUGUUAUUCAAAUCAGCACCAGACCGGUCACUUUUAGAAGUGAUACCAUGGGAGGCAAUUAAACCCAGGAAAAUGCUGAGCACUAGAGUGACCAUGCAAGAAGGGGCCUUAGAGAUAGAUCCUGUACGUCUUCACCUGUUGGUGCCAGGGCCAGAACAGAGGCCUGCAAGGGUAAGAGCAAGCUCAGCACCACAGAACUUGUAGGUAACAGAGCCGGGCUCAAGUGCACGCUUCCUGACUGCAAUUUCAACACUCCCAUUCAAGGUGAGAGUGAAAAAUAUUUUCCCCUAGGCUUUCCCCAGUGAUAUUCCCCUAUGCACCAGCAGAGCAUGAGGGUAUGAGACGAAGAUGCACAUCCUAGCCCUAGCUUUGCUACUGACUAGCCACGUGUGUUUGAGCAACUCACAAAACUUCUCCAGAUUUCAGACUCCUCAUUUGUAAAAUAAAGUCAUUUGAUUUGUCCAUUGCUCUCCAUAGUUCACCAAAGUGCCCCUCGUAGGAGAGUGGAAUGGAUGAUGUUUAGAGUAGAAGCUUGGAGAUGUGGCAAUAAGUGACCUUGUGCAAGUGAGAAAUGCACUCAAUAUAUUGGAAUUUGUCUGUCUUAAUAAUUUGUGUGGCUUCUACAUUUUACUUAGUAAUAUAUCUGUGUUUGCUUUCGGGUGAAAAUACUGUUUGAAAUGUCUUACUAUCCAUGAAACUUGGUUUACCAAAGAGGGCCUGUUUUCCCUGAGGUACAAGGACUAGAAGGUUUUCUGAGGCCACCCCCAGCCCCCAUUCAUUGAUUUCGUGUCUUAAGUUGUUUGUGUUUUUUAUUUUAUCACACCCUCCUAUUUCUGGUUCCCAGAAUGUAAGUAGUUCUCCCUCCACAAUGUUCAACAGUCCUCAAUAAUGCCCGGCUAUGUGAAGAUGGAAAGAUGAGGGAAAAUUAGCACCAUAAGCAGAGUCUGGAAAGGUACACAGACAUUUAACAGAUGGAAACAGGAGGGCUGCCAUUCUAGAAAGAUAUGAGGACUGCUCAUCAGCCUGGCUUCCGCUAGAGGAGAUCUAC